AGCGAACGCUGGCGGCAGGCCUAACACAUGCAAGUCGAACGAACCUUUCGGGGUUAGUGGCGGACGGGUGAGUAACACGUGGGAACGUGCCUUUAGGUUCGGAAUAACUCAGGGAAACUUGUGCUAAUACCGAAUGGGCCCUUCGGGGGAAAGAUUUAUCGCCGUUAGAGCGGCCCGCGUCUGAUUAGCUAGUUGGUUGAGGUAAUGGCGCACCAAGGCGACGAUCAGUAGCUGGUCUGAGAGGAUGAUCAGCCACAUUGGCACUGAGACACGGCCCAAACUCCUACGGUAGGCAGCAGUGGGUAAUCUUGCGCAAUGGGCGAAAGCCUGACGCAGCCAUGCCGCGUGAAUGAUGAAGGUCUUAGGAUUGUAAAGUUCUUUCACCGGGGACGAUAAUGACGGUACCCGGAGAAGAAGCCCCGGCUAACUUCGUG
rnacentral:rRNA from 1 species